GAUGAACGCUGGCGGCGUGCCUAAUACAUGCAAGUCGAGCGAAUGGAUUAAGAGCUUGCUCUUAUGGAAUUAGCGGCGGACGGGUGAGUAACACGUGGGUAACCUGCCCAUAAGACUGGGAUAACUCCGGGAAACCGGGGCUAAUACCGGAUAACAUUUUGAACUGCAUGGUUCGAAAUUGAAAGGCGGCUUCGGCUGUCACUUAUGGAUGGACCCGCGUCGCAUUAGCUAGUUGGUGAGGUAACGGCUCACCAAGGCAACGAUGCGUAGCCGACCUGAGAGGUGGAGCGGCCACACUGGGACUGAGACACGGCCCAGACUCCGACGGGGGGCAGCAGUAGGGAAUCUUCCGCAAUGGACGAAAGUCUGACGGAGCAACGCCGCGUGAGUGAUGAAGGCUUUCGGGUCGUAAAACUCUGUUGUUAGGGAAGAACAAGUGCUAGUUGAAUAAGCUGGCACCUUGACGGUACCUAACCAGAAAGCCACGGCUAACUACGUGCCAGCCGCCGCCGUAAAAC
rnacentral:rRNA from 1 species